UACUUAAAAUACUUGAAAUUUUUGCACCAAAUGGGUUUCUUCAACUCAACAAAAAUACUUCAACUUCACACAUUGCAAGGAUCAGUUUGGUUUCAUUUUUUCAGCGUCCAUUUUUCCACUGAAUAAUUGAAAUACCAAGAUAAAAAUGGUUCGAAGUAUCGUUUGUCUAAUAAUCGUUUUGGCGAGUGUUGCAUCUGCAGACGAGAACGCGACUAACUUGGUUCCCUCGCCUCGACUCCUAGUCACCAAUAAACGAGGAAUUGAAAGAAACCUCAAAAUGGAACGACUAAUUCUGCCCAGCUCACAGCUCGAAAAAAGUGUGGUCCCAGUUGGAUCAGAAGACAAGGACGAGGACGAGGACGAAACUUUUAUAAGGCCACCGAUUGAGAACGCAUAUGUCGCGUAGUUCCAUUCCAAUAUACGCUCCGAAACCUUACAUUAACAUUCCGAUACGUUUGAAAAGUAAAGCUGAAAAGAUCUAUCAAUGUAUUCUAAGUGAAGAUCGCAAAAAUCUCUGUGGGAUGGAAUGGGGGAUGGUUUGAUUUUAUAUCCUUGCUCGUUAAACUGUAUGUUCCUCGAUUGUAUUCGCCGCCUGGGGUUGAGUUAAUAAUUAGAUGGGAGUGGAUAAAUCAAAAACAUGUAUUUUUUUCAGA